GUCUGUCCGCAGGCAUAUGUGGGAACCGGACGGAUCGGCCUACUACUAUAAUAUAACUGCCAUAGGAUCGAUCGGCCCAAAGCUACAAUGGGAAAGUCGGCUUGGAGUUGCAAUCUUCUCACAUAUUUGCAAAAUGGAAAUAUCUGUAAGAGUAUUUCAACUUCAGAGAUAUUCUUACUUUCUCGUUAUUUGAUAAAUUUUGGUUUGUUGCUUCGCUUUGCUGCACCCUCGAAACAUUUAGCUAAAUAAAUAAAAUGCACGAAUUGUUGAUCGGCGCUCACAUUGAAAAUAUACAACAAAUAUUCAAACUAAUUGAAAUUUAUGGGCAACAGUUGAGCAGGAAAUCAAUGAAGUGUAGAUGACUGGGAAUUUUUGUUUUGAUUUGCAAUCUCUGUGGCAAGUUCGACAUGAUAAUAUUUUCAAAACAAUUAAUAAAAUUAUGGCCAAUAAAAAUACUACAGAAUUUUCUGUUUAGAAAAUUAAUACAGAAAAA